UUACGCCAAACACUGCAGACCUCACCCUUCUUCCCCACCUAGCCGUAAACCCCUUACCUCACCAUUUACACCCUCAAUUACCCUCUACACCCACCAUAUUAUCACCAAAAACCUCCAUUAUCACCUAAAAUUAUCUCACCCUCUCAUCUAUCACUUAAAUACAUCAUUAUCCACUGAAACAUUACGUAACCUUUACCUCUACACAGUUAACACCAAUCUCCACCGAUAAACCCUCCAACCUCCAUUACCACCUGAACUUCACAAACAUCCCACUUACAGCCGACACACUACCACCCACCACCUCUCCCCACCGCCGUAACCCCUACCUGCCGACCACCCCCUUACAACCACCUCACCCCACCCCCUUACCACCGUAAACCCUAGCCCUCCUCCCUAAACCGCCGCUAAACCUCUUCCUCUCCUAUCCGCCGCCGACCACCCUAACACUCCUCCCUAAACCACCAAUAACCUACCCCACAGCCGAUACACCCAAUAUCCCAUCUAACCAGUACCACCGCCAAUCCCUCCAUAAUCAUCUCACACCUAAGUUCUUCCACAUUCCUACCAUCUUUCACCAUAGAAAUUGGAUUUUGCAUGGGGUUUCAAGGUUCAGCCGAGAAUUUUCUCUAUUCCUUCUUUUUUUUUUCUCACAAAUCUCAGAAUGUCACGUGCAGGAACUUCAAGUCGGGCCAACAGGAAACGAGACUGAGACACUCGCUCAGGAAAGGGCCCAGUGGGACACAGGCGGGUGAUGAGGUGUUGGAUGAUGCGGAGUAGAGCGAGGAUGCAGCGAGGAUGACAGCUUAUAUCUUUUGUUUAUUUUUAUCUUUAUGCUGUUUUUAAUCCUCGUCUAUUGGUUUGUACUUAAAUACAUUAAACAAGUUGGUUGGGAUUUUGGGGUUGGUUGAUAUAAUUGUGGAUGGUUGUUGAACGUGAUAUAUUAUAUUAUCUUUUGCUA